rnacentral:rRNA from 1 species
UACGGAAGGCAGCAGUGGGGAAUAUUGCACAAUGGGCGCAAGCCUGAUGCAGCCAUGCCGCGUGUAUGAAGAAGGCCUUCGGGUUGUAAAGUACUUUCAGCGGGGAGGAAGGCGAUGCGGUUAAUAACCGCGUCGAUUGACGUUACCCGCAGAAGAAGCACCGGCUAACUCCGUGCCAGCAGCCGCGGUAAUACGGAGGGUGCAAGCGUUAAUCGGAAUUACUGGGCGUAAAGCGCACGCAGGCGGUCUGUUUAAGUCAGAUGUGAAAUCCCCGGGCUUAACCUGGGAACUGCAUUUUGAAACUGGCAGGCUUGAGUCUUGUAGAGGGGGUAGAAUUCCAGGUGUAGCGGUGAAAUGCGUAGAGAUCUGGAGGAAUACCGGUGGCGAAGGCGGCCCCUGGGACAAAGACUGACGCUCAGGGUGCGAAAGCGUGGGGAGCAAACGAGGAUUAGGAUACC